AGAGCAAAUACUGCCUCAUCUCUUUGCAUGCAAAGAAACUGUGCUGAAAAAGAACAUAGACCUGUUUGAAAUGGUAAGGGCAUUUACUUACGAGCGAUAAAUUAAACAUAUUCAGUUUCAGAACAUGAGCUAAAAUGUUCACUGUUGUACAUGUUUGCUUUUUUGUAAUAAGUGCUGUUUGAUGUGUUAAAAAUUGUGGCUUCUGAACUUGAAGCCAACUGAACUCUCCAAAGGGCUCUGGUGUCAAACCUGCUGGGGGCUGCUUGCUGUUCUUCUUAAUACAGAAGACUUUAGAUAAUAUGAUGGAAGGCAGUGAAGGCCUUGAAGGUGGAACAUUCAGGUGGAACGGGGGAAGAUGCAGCUGUACAGCUGAAAUGAAAAGCAUACUGAAGAAACACCUUUUAAAAGCUGGUCUUGUGAUGGUAUUGAGUCAUUUCCAUGCUGCUAUUAUGUUUUUUAGUGAAUGUUUUUUAGUUAUUGUGGAAGUGCUGCUAGCUGUCUGAAGGUGUAUUCUACUCCCUUGCCUCCUACACGAGUCAGCUUUGGUACUUUGCUCUGCCUUGCUUAAAAUUUGUCUUAACUAUACCUCAAAUUCUUCUUGAGCCCUGUCUGCUAUUACCUAUACUGGGAAAAGCCCAUCUAGAGUGGCUUGCUUAAGUCCUACUUCCUUUUUGUCCAGAAGUUAGAGCACAAGGGAGUUGCUGUGGUCAACUUGGAACCUGCACAACUUGAGGAGACAGAACAUUCUCAGUCAUGUUUCCAAAACCUACACUGCUUUUUUUUUCCAGUCUAUGACAACGAUGGAAAUGAAAUGCCAAAGCAAUCCAGCUCUGCCUCCCCAGGUGUCAGUCAUCUUGGUUUGAAGUUGCCAGUUAGCAGAGUUGAUAGCGUGUGGCAAUUCCUGUUGGUUACAGUCUACUCAGCCUGAAAUUCUUGUCAGCAGCAAAUAAAACAGAAUCCAUACAGUGGUGCUGACUAAGCAAGGAUGGGCAAGCAAGCACAAAGAUUGGUCGCUAUCCCUAAAGGCAACGCAAUUGCUCUUAGACUGCAGUCAUAGACAGAUGUGCAGAAAGGCAAGUGGACAACAGAUGGAGCACGUGCAUUGUGUACUGGCAAUCUUGUUCUGAACUUCAUCUUCCAUGUGGUUGGCUCAAGUGAUUUCACCAGCAAGCAGCUAGGAAUAUCUUCUGUGAGCUGUAAAUCCUUUCCACAAGCUGCUGAUCCAUAGUUUCUGAGAAGAUCUGAAUGGGACAGGCCUCCAUUCCCCUCCUUGUCAGUGUCUGUGGUGUAAAAAUCCUUGCUUGAGUGAGGCCCUCCCUUGCUUCCUUUUAUUGGCAGCAGAGCAACAGGCCUUCUCAGGAUGUGAAUCAUUGGACCUCUUUGCAACGUUGCAUUGAGGCUAAGAGCAAGCAUGAAAGAUGUCAAGUGAGGGCUGAUGCUAUAUGCUCAAAGGGGCUGGGAUGUUUCCAGGCACGGUGAGUUCCUGCACGCUCAAGGGAACAUGCUGAAGAAAGCUAGCAGUGAGGUAGGACAGUUCCUUUCUCUCCGCUUUUCUGUAUGACUGGAUAAAUACAAACAAGAACCAAGUGAGCGAAUUAUUCUGGCCUAAUUUGGACAAGCACUUUAAGCAGUAACAGGUUCUCUAUGAAGUCAGUCAAAACCUGCAUGCUUGACAUCUUUAUGUUGUGUUGCCAAGAUCUUAUCCGAUUUCUGAACACGUAAGAACUCCACUGCUGGGUCGGUCUCUUUUCUGUUCUCCUCCCCCUAGAGUAUACUUUUAGGGCUGUGGGGCUACUUCAUUCAAAGUUAGAGUUCAAGAUCACAAGUAAUAAGGCCCAAGUUUUGAAUCCUCAACUCUUGCAGGUUCAAAAUUUAUCAGAGGCAACAGGCAUGGUGUAGGACUGACAAUUGUGCUUUCCACAUAAAACAAGGCAAAAGCCUUGUAGUAGGCAGAGAUAAAAAGCAGUUCCUCAAAGACCAGAAGAUAAUGAAUAAAUGUACCUCAUCCCCUUGCAUCACCCUAAAGGCAGUAUAAAGUUUGCCAGUGAGAAUCCAACCAAACAUGAGUCGGAAACCUCGUCUCAUUAUUUGUACAGAUACUUACUGAGAUAAAAGAGAUCAUAAAGCACUUUGAGGUCUGCAAACUGCCUGAUGCUGCAGCAAGAGCAAUCCUUUCCUACCAUCUCCUGUGUGACUUGGAAGGCUCUCAGCAAGCCCAGCUGUGCUUAGCUCUAUAAAAAGCAGUCAGGAGCAGCAUAUUUAGAGAAAAACCAGCAUGUGCUACCAUUGUCAAGAGCUGAUUAAGUUUUUUUGUUUCCCUUAGAGCAUUUCAGAAGACCAAAGUAUUUUUUUUCGUGGAGAAAAAAAAAUGAAAUGAGAAACCACAACUUUGGGGUAAAAAUAUUUUGCUUAUGAAAACUGGAAAUGAUUUUGGGAAGUGGUUUUUAAAGAUUCUUCUUUUAAAUAGAAAAUGGUUUCAAGAAAACAGGAGAAAACUCAAUUUUAAGACCAGGCUUCUUUGUCCAAAAGGAAAGCAUUUUGUGAGGGGGAAAAAAGGGGAAAAAAUGAUCUUGUAAUCUCCUACAAAAAUGCUUGGCCUUUCUUCAGCAUUUCUUUGUCUUUGUUUGCAUCUUUUUCCACAUCUUAAUUGUCGUAGUUCAGCCUUCCCAAGAUGCAUUGUUAUUUAUCAAGGAAUUGUGUUAAAUACGUCAUUCUUUCACAGGAAGGUGGAAAGAGGAAUGUUGCUGUUGCAAAACAGCAUUCCUGGGUGCAAGUCGCUCUGCUAAAGCUCCCUGCAAGGCAGAUAAAUAUACUAUAGAAUAUUUUCAUCCCACAAAGAAUGUCUGCGAUGAGUUGUCUUUUCCUUUCUUAAGAGUACACCACAUAUGUCAUUGGGCCAAAACAUUGUUCUCAAAUCAACUGCUUUCCAUAUCGAGAAACUCUGUGUCUCUGUAAAAUUUCAGAUCUCCAAAGGCAACUGAAAAUUUGGAUGAUGCCGGGCUAUGGGAUGGAAUAAGCUGCUCUUUCUACACAUGGAUAUGUUCUGGGAAGAAAGGUGACUUUUUCUCCUUACGCGUCACCAAAGACUCACCCUGAUUUGGGGUUGUCAGGUACUGGGGAGAAAUGCAAUUUAUUCUGAAGAUGAGACAGUCUCUCUUGGGUUUUAUAACUUUCUGCGCUAGUAGAGUUGGUUACUAUGUGUACCAUUAUCUCCUUCUUUGGCAGACAAAGAUUGCAGAAGAUGACAACAAUAAUUUAGAUAGCUUAACAUUAAAAAAAAAAAAAAGCUUUUCUAGAUCCUAAUUUACUUGUUAAUUAUUAAACUUCAACCCUGCAGAGUGAUAUUUUCCAUUCCAGAGGUUUGUUUCAGAGUGGAGUGUCAAAAGUCAAAUGACAAAUGUUUUGCUGAAUCUGUAGUUAGGAAACUUGCUAUUUCUGCCAAUGUGAAAAAGACUCAGAGAGGAGGGAGGAUGAUGCCAUUGGCCUGGAGCAUGGAGGUGGCAGCAGGGUCAGUGGUCUGGCAAUAGCUGAACUGCAACUGAGGCAGUGGAAGCUGGACUAGAGGAGCCAGCACUGACUCUGAGGCUCUCCAUUUCUUUUCUGUUGGCCAGCAUGUGGCUCUGACAUAGAGUUUUGCCCUUCCUUGGGAUGUAGCCAUGUUGGCAGCCUUGGUGAUGCUGCAGAGCCUAGCAGUCCCAUGACACUGAGGGCCCUCUCCAGACACGGCCUAUGGUGUCCGUGUUGGCCCUGGGCAGCUUAGUGGAGGUGCCUUUAAAUCCCACAGGCCCUGGUGACAGCUAAUAUUUGGGCCAAUCUGGGAGGGCUGGGUGUUGGUCCACCUACAUCAGUCAUUUAUCAACUCAUGGGACGUGCCCACAGUGUGAGGGCCUGCACACGUGCAACCAUGUGGUUGUGGACUCUGAAGCCUGGGGCUUUCUUACCAAAAAGUGUGUGUAUUAAACAUGAGGCUGGUGUGUCCACGUGCAGAGCAGACAGGGUGCUUCAGGGCCAGUACUCUGAUGCUGUCUUUGAAGGUAGGUGACAUGGACAGCCUGACCUAGCUGUGGAUGUUGCUGUUCAUUGCAGAGGAGUUGGACUAGGUGGCCUUCAGAGGUCCUUUCCAACUCUAAAGAUUCUAUGAUUCUAUGACAAAUGAGUUUGUUCCUGGGUGAGCCUUGGGGCUGCUCUCCUGCAGCCCCAUGGAUGGAUCUUUGGAGGAUACAGGGCAACUACUUUAUUAGGUUCGGUGGUCUAUGUCUUCACCAUAGAUUUAAUGCUGUAGGAAAACAGAGAGAAGCCCCAGCAGUGGCUUUAACAGCCUGCACUGACCUGGGCCUGCCAGAAAGCCUGCAGUAAUGUUCCAUCCAGCGUCAGCAGCUCCACUCCUGAGAGGCACUGCGGUCCUCCAGACCUGCCCAGCUCUCUCUGAACUGACAUGACUCUAUGCUGAACCCUCGGGGUUGGUAAUAGCCAGCAGGACUUUAUUUAAUGACUGAAAAUACCACUCCUGCAAGGGAGAACCACCCAUACGCAUUCAGAGGUGCCUAUUGUGCCUUCAGGCAAAAUCCAAGGCAGCGCGAGCUGCACAUGUACCCUCAGUGACUAAAUAAGGGAGAAAGCUCUGCACAGGAGGGCUGCUCUGAAGAAGUGCUUUCACCGCUGAAAAUUGCAGUUCCUCAGGAAACAAAGUGGUAAGCACAUGAGUUAUAAAGGUCACAUGAAGCUCUCCAUAACAGACUCUGUGACAGGAGGUUGUAGCAAGGUGGCAGUCAGCCUCUUCUCCCAGGUAACAGUGAUAGGAUGAGAGAUAAUAACCUUAAGUUGCAGCAGGAGAGGUUCAGGUUGGAUAUUAGGAAACAUUUAUUUUCCAGAAGAGUGGUCAUGCAACGGAACAGGCUGCCCAGGGAUGUAGUGGAGUCACUGUCCCUGGAGGUGUCCCGGAACCGUGUGGAUGUGGCACUGAGAGACAUGGUCAGUGGGCAUGGUGGGGAUGGGUUGAGGCUGGACUUGGUGAUCUUAGAGUUCUUUUUCAACCUUAAUGGUUCUAUGAAUUCUAUGAUUCUAACAGUGUUCUCGAGAAUGGAAACUAAGAAAUAAAUGAGUGGCAAGAGUCCUACCUAAAGCGAAGGUCUUUACAAGUAUUACCCAGGGAAUUCCCCCUAAUUAUUGAACAUCACUCAGCUACUUGAGCCUUACAAUGGUGUUGCUGGAAUAAGCCUCAAAAACAAGAGCAAACUACUACUACGUGGUUUUCUGAGUCUUGCAAAUGAAGUUUCACAGUCCCAGUGCUGAGAUUCAUCUUAUAAUGCUUUGGCAUGCCUUCUACUAUCUAGAUACUUGUGCUCCAUCUAGUGAAUAAAUUUAUUGCUCAUCCUGGAUCAGCUUUGGCUGUGGAGAGGUCCUGGGGAAAAGAAAUGCAAUUUAUGAAUUUGACCUAUGCAAAAAUGGGAAUUACCCAGGAAGAUUCUAAGUCCGAUUUUACUGGAAGGGUAAGAAUGACAGUGAUUGUAGCUUCCAGCUGCUCAUUGACAUGUCUUUAAAUUCUUCUUAGAAGACUUGAGGGUUUUUCUUAAUGAAGUUUCCCAUGAAAAUCUAUUUGUUUUUAUAUUCAGUGGGCGGAUUUACUUGUUAUGUGAAGCAAAUGAAGGGGAAGAGGUAAAAUGAGAAAAGCUGGUUCAAGUACAUUAACUGUAUCUGUUACAACCCAUUUUUACUGUUCUUGUUCAGCAGCCAAAACACAUUCCUCUUUUAUAAAAGAAGGAACACAGGGGCACCAGCUCACAGAUCUUUAAUGCAAUAAAGUUGUCUGGAGAUGUAUGUGAGGGGCCCCAUGCUGCUGGGCACUGAUGAGAGAAGAGGAGAGACUCAGAGUGCCAGCAUGGAGACACUCCAGACCUGCUCUGGUGUCUGCUGAAGACCCUAAGAGACUCAGAGAGGUCUGGGUUUUCUCCUUCCUUCUUCCUUCCUGCUGUCCUUCUGCCUCUCAGACUGCCUUGCCUAACCUUUGCCAGACAUAUCUUAGAAUCACAGAAUUGUUUGAGUUGGAAUGGACCCUUAAAGGCCAUCUGAUUCAAAGCCCUGCAGUGAAGAGGGACACCCACAGGUAGAUCAGGUUGCUCAGAGCCUCAUCCAGCCUGACCUUGAGUCUCCAGGGAUGGGGCAUCCACCACCUCUCUGGGCAACCUCUUCCAGUACCUCACCACUCUUACUGUAAAAAACUUUGCCCUUAUAUCCAAUCUAAAUCUCCCCUCUCUUAGUCUGAAACCACUUCCCCUUGUUAUAGCACAGCAGACCUUGCUAAAGAAUCUGCCCCCUUCCUUCUUAAAGCCUCCCUUUAGAUACUGAAAGGCCACUGGCAGGUCUCCCUGGAACCUUCUCUUCUCCAGGCUGAACAGUGUGGUAUCUCAUGCCAUGUUCCACCUUUUCUUUUUCUCUGUUUCCAUAUUGAAACUGUGAGCGGGAAGUCGACACAAGGGGCCAUGAAAAGAAAGGCCAUGGUAUUUUUUGCUGAGAAUGUGUUUUUGGGGUCCUGUUUGAUACUCAUGAAAGAAAAUUGCUCUUUUCAGUUUUCCAACUCUGGGCCAGACCCAGGGGCUAGCAGACCCCAUAGUUGUACCCCACAGCCUGAUCUGCACCGGACACCUUCCUCUUGCUGCCGCUUUUGUCUUAAACCAGGCUCCCGUGUCAUGGUCCUGCUGGGUGUUGAAGCCUUCUAUCUGCCCCAAUGGCCCAGGAUGAUGGCCAUGGUUGGUGAGGUGGCUGGUGGUUGCCCAAAAGUGCUGUGGGGCUCACCCUCCGCCACCUCUCUCCUUAGCCCCUGGCCAUGCACGAUCAGACUGGAAGCAGCACAACUGAGAGCCAUUUGCUCUGUCUGAGUGUGCACGUGUUUUACGGAGUGGUGACAACAUGAUGUACACAUUUCAACCAGAUGUGAUGGCUGUGUAGCAUAGUAGCACCAGGGACGCUCGACUGCGCAGUAAGUGCCAUUUUCUUUGGGUAGAAGUAUCCUGAUUUUAUUUGAAAACUCCUGUUAUUACUUCUGAGUUUGCUUAAGCUCAUGUAAAAGAUAUAUAUAUGCACCAUAUAUUAAAAAAAAACACACACAAAAAACUUUUGCAAGUGUGCAGCUUAAAUACAUAGGGCUUCCAUGGCUGAUGGGAUUUCUGCUUUCAAGUGAAAAAAUAAUAAUUAAAAAACAGACUUUUAUUUUGAAAAGGGAUUUAUUAAGGAAAAUUCCCUUCUCCUAAAAAGAAGCACAGAAAGAUAUCAGUCUUGUUUUGUGUAUCUUAUGGCCAAAGUUAUAUAGGACUUACAGAGACUAGCUGACUGCUUUUGCAGGGCAUCUGCUGCUCUGUUUAUUGGUCUGGCAAUAAAUGCCAUAAUAACAAUAUCUGUGUGGUGUUCUGUGCUGUUAAAUAUCCUCAGAGCAAUUAUUUUCCUCGGUACCACUUUCCCAUUUUUUUGAACAAUAAGAAUUUGUGUUAUGAAUUCCAGGGGCUGGAAGCAGUGGCACAGGAAGUCUGGUCCCAUAUUUACCUUUCCCUGCAGCUAUGUCCUGGGGUAAGGAGGAUGGAGCUGGGCCACUGCUGGCAUGGGAGACUCCCUGGGCACACUGAGCUGAAGGAAACAAGUCAGUCCAGGGCACAGUUUUGUGCCUUCUUUAUCUCUAUUGACUCUAACUGGGUGCUAAAACCCUGCUUUCCAUAGCAGAGAUGAAAAUAAGAUCUUGACAAUAAAUGCUGUAUGAUGACAAUCAUGCUGUAUGAUGACAAUAAAUGCCUUUUUGUGCCUACCCUAAGUCAAGUCUCAGGUCAGGCUGUUGGUUUCUCCUGCUCACAGCUUUAGACUGACACUGCUUCUUGGAUUCUUCCAUUCUAGACAGUUUUUGUUAUUAGUUGCUGUUAGGUUACUUGACAGCUCUGUCCAUGAGGCGGCUUAGUUCAUUUGUCAGCAAUACCGUCCUUAUGGACAUUACAGUGGAAAAAAAAGUAGGUCAUUACUUACAAUUUCUAAGGAUCACGGGUUUUUCACUUAAUUCUGUGGUUUGGUGGCUUGCACAACCUUCACAGCGCACAGUGAAAACAUUAUGCUCUUACUGUAUGUGUCCCCCAUGUAAAUGAGCCUGAUGGAGGAGUCCCAUAAUCUUACCUAUGGGCUUUCAUGAACUCCAUGGUCUUUAGUGCUGACAUUAAGAACUCUGCACUUGCACUCCUGAUCUAGCGAGCAGAAUUGCAUUUGCAGGUAAAAAGAUAAAAGUCAGAAAUCUACCUAAAGGAAAUCAGAAAAUCUGCUCAGGAUCUACAUCUCUGGGAUAAGGAAUCAAUAGGGAAAAACAGACAGAAGGAAAUACAUGUGGGGAAAAGUUUGAGAUGAAUCAGAAAUUGUGGAAAUCUGCCUAUGAAAUGUUAUUUUUACUAUGACGCAAUGCUAAAUGCAUUCAGACUGCAAAAGACAGGCAGCUUAAAAUGGAGUACAGGAGCUGACCACUGAUUUUUUUUGACCCCAUGGAAGAACAAUGAAGAUGCUUUGGGGAAGAACAGCAAGGAGAAGCCCUCAAAGGAGAAGCCUUAAAAUUAUCUGACUGCCUGAGCCUUCUCUUGAAGCACAGGAGCUGGUGUAGAGCCCAUGAAGAUCUGUGCCACUCCUGAUCACUGCUGGCUCUGGCUGGUGCUUGAAUACUUGUAAUAGGGUCUAGACAAAGGUUAGAGAUGCUCGGAUUGGUAAGCUGUGCCAGGAGAGGAUUAGCUGGGUGUUAGGAAAAGUUCUUGAUCAGAGUGUGGUUGGGUUCUGGAACAGGCUUCCCAGGGCCGUGGUCGUGACCCCAAGCUGCUGGAGUUCUUGGACAGUGCCCUCAGACAUAAGUGUUGAAUUUUGUGUGUUGCUGUGUGGAGCCAGAAGUUGGACUCACUGAUCCUUGUGGCUCCCUUCAAGCUUGGGACAUCGUGGAAUCAUAGAAUGGCUUGACUUGGAAGGGACUCCAAGGAUCAUCAAGUUCCAACCCUCCUGCCACAGGCAGGGGCACCAACCUCCAAAUCUGGCACUCAACCAGGCUGCCCAGGGCCCCAUCCAACCUGGACUUGAACACCUCCAGGGAUGGGGCAUCCACAGCUUCUCUGGGCAGCCUCUUCCAGCACCUUACCACCCUCUAUGAAGAACUUUCUCCUGACAUCCAAUCUAAGCCUUCCCUCCUUGAGCUUAAAACCAUUCCCCCUUGUCCUAUCACUGUCUUAAUAUGCUAUAUUAUAUGUAUAUGCUAUGAUUCUGGGUUUCUAAGGAAAAGGAACAAUAGAACAGGACUGAGAACUGCUUUUAAGAGGUAGAAAACUUUCCUCGAAUCUUUUGGUAUUUAAUGCUUCAGUUUACCUAACAGAUAACCAGGCAUUUCCUGCUGUGAACACAACCAAAAGUUUUAGCUGUGCCUGGGAAAAUGUGGGUGAAUUAAAGAAGCUCAAGUGGUUCCUUGACAAAAGCACUGAGGAAGAUAAAUUACAAGAGAAGGCUGGUGAAUUUACAGAGCUCCUGGGGAGAAGAAAGCAAGAUGUUAUGUCUGGGGUGACAGCUACCGAGCAGACUUUCGAGGUGGCUAAUGUACCAGAGAGCAAGCCAUUUAUCAAAAGCAAAAGAGAUUGACUGUGAAGCUUUUUAAACAUACCACUGCUUCCUGAAAAAAAAAAUUAACCUGUCAUCAGAUGAGUUUUCUUGAACCUCUGGUCCUUUGAAGGUUUUAUGUUGGAGGACAUUCACUUCCCUUGACAUAGUCAGAUGACCCUGGGAUCAAAUCUGCCCUGUAGACUAGUCAAGAACAUUUUCACUGCUAUUUUCCUUGGGAAUGGAAGUGCUGAGAGGCUGUUCAUAUGGUGUCUUCUGCUUGGGCUAGACUGAAAAUAUCAGAUAUUUAGGAAAAAUAAAAAUAAUUCAGGAAGAGAUAAUAGGUCAGAUGUCCUGAAAUGCAAGUCCUGCUGGGGGGAACUGAAUCAGGACACAUUCCUCUUGCCAUGAAACAUCUGAGAGAAUCUUUGCAGACCACAAGCUCCAUCUUUACUGUCAUGUGAAAGACCCAGCCUCUGGCCACAAGAAGCAAUCCAGUCUUCUGAUCCAGACUGCCUGGGAAUCACUGCCAGUAGCUCUGCCAGGGCUUGGUUUCCCUUGGGAGACCUCUCAGCUGGGCUCCGUCCUGCUCUCUCUGACCGUGGCUGAGAUGACAAACUCACAGCCCAAACUGUCUACGACAAACGGGUUGUUGGCAGAAUCCUGUUUCAUUCAGUGUGCUUAAAAAAAUAAAUAAAAGAAGAAAGAAA